rnacentral:rRNA from 1 species
UCAGGCCUGGGAUUCGAGCUCCUUGCCGGUGACGAAGGUGCCGUGGAAGCCGUACGGCACGCGGGACGGCAGCUGGAUGGUCGCCUUGGGCCACGGCUCGGCCACGGCCAGGUAGGCGUACCGCGUCUUGCGGCCCAGCAGGUUGGAGUUCACCAUGCCGACCUCCAGGUUCACCUGCUCCGACAGCGCCAGGAUGGGCCGCCGCGUGGACUCGCCGGUGCGGGUGUUGAGGCGGAUCUCCGUGAGCACGCUCUCGAGGCACUCGUCCGACUCGUUGAAGAUGGAGUCGGCGGGGGUCAUGCAGGAGCCGAUCACCACCACCUCCUCGGUCUCCUCCUCCUCCCACGCGUUCCAGAGGUGGAAGCAGAAGCAGUCCGGCACGUCCACCCACACCAUCUCCGACGCGUCCGCCGCGCACUUGGGCAGCACGCCGAAGCGGGACGUCUUCUCCUUGUCGAGCACCACGGGCGAGCCGCCGCGGAGCAUCUCUUGCAGCUUGAACACCACCUGGUGGUCGGGCACCACCACGUAAUUCUCGGUGAUGGCGAAGUCGUGGAUCAUGGUGGGCUGGUCCAGCGGGAUCUCGACGUCGGCCGACUUGGUGCCGUCGGCCGCGAAGUAGAAGUACUUGAGGUAGGGCUUCUUGAUGACGUCGUAGCUGAGCGCGUGGAGCUCCCCGGUGGCGGGGUCGAGUUUCGGGUGCGCGAUCAUGGGGCACUCGAGCUGCCCGUCGAAGUCGUAGCGGCCGACGGUCUGGAGGUCGCCGUCGUCGGUGACGCGGACGUGGUACGGGAUGUCGUCCUCGGACAU